UUACCGCAGUAUAAACUUAAUACAACUCCUUUACGGGGAGAAAAUUGAAAACCUCACAGUAAAC
rnacentral:tRNA from 1 species